UACGGGGGGGGCAAGCGUUGUUCGGAAUUACUGGGCGUAAAGGGCUCGUAGGCGGCCAACUAAGUCAGACGUGAAAUCCCUCGGCUUAACCGGGGAACUGCGUCUGAUACUGGAUGGCUUGAGGUUGGGAGAGGGAUGCGGAAUUCCUGGUGUAGCGGUGAAAUGCGCAGAUAUCAGGAGGAACACCAAUGGCGAAGGCAGCUCGCUGGGACGGUACUGACGCUGAGGCGCGAAAGCGUGGGGAGCAAACAGG
rnacentral:rRNA from 1 species